GAUGAACGCUGGCGGCGUGCCUAAUACAUGCAAGUCGAGCGAACAGACGAGGAGCUUGCUCCUCUGACGUUAGCGGCGGAUGGGUGAGUAACACGUGGAUAACCUACCUAUAAGACUGGGAUAACUUCGGGAAACCGGAGCUAAUACCGGAUAAUAUAUUGAACCGCAUGGUUCACUAGUGAAAGACGGUUUUGCUGUCACUUAUAGAUGGAUCCGCGCCGCAUUAGCUAGUUGGUAAGGUAACGGCUUACCAAGGCAACGAUGCGUAGCCGACCUGAGAGGGUGAUCGGCCACACUGGAACUGAGACACGGUCCAGACUCCUACGGGAGGCAGCAGUAGGGAAUCUUCCGCAAUGGGCGAAAGCCUGACGGAGCAACGCCGCGUGAGUGAUGAAGGUCUUCGGAUCGUAAAACUCUGUUAUUAGGGAAGAACAAAUGUGUAAGUAACUAUGCACGUCUUGACGGUACCUAAUCAGAAAGCCACGGCUAACUACGUG
rnacentral:rRNA from 1 species